UACGUAGGGUGCAAGCGUUGUCCGGAAUUAUUGGGCGUAAAGAGCUCGUAGGCGGUUUGUCGCGUCGGCUGUGAAAACUCGGGGCUCAACCCCGAGCCUGCAGUCGAUACGGGCAGACUAGAGUGCGGUAGGGGAGACUGGAAUUCCUGGUGUAGCGGUGAAAUGCGCAGAUAUCAGGAGGAACACCGGUGGCGAAGGCGGGUCUCUGGGCCGUAACUGACGCUGAGGCGCGAAAGCUAGGGGAGCAAACAGG
rnacentral:rRNA from 1 species